GGGGAAUAGCUCAAAUUUUAAAUCCGACAGGUUUUUUACCUGACCGAGUUGUAAUUUGAAGAAGCGUUUUUUGCAAUCUUUGUAUUAGCCCAAAUCCUUUGGGAUAAGGUAUCAUAGAGGGUUAGAAAUCCCGUCUGGCUAAAUCGAGGUUGCAUUACGAUACGCUUUCUAA
rnacentral:rRNA from 1 species